rnacentral:SRP_RNA from 14 species
UCGUCUGGAUCAUAAAGGGCAUGGCGAAGCUGGUCAGGUCGUUGCGCCACGAGAGCUCAAGGACCACGUCAGGACGAAGCAGCGGGUAGCACGAGUAAAGGGUCGCGGAGAAGCAUGCGUUGAGCUUUU